GAUGGUCUACGCUAAAGUACGUGGUUUCAUACGCUAAUGUGCGAUAGUCCGGGAAAAUAUAGACGUAAAAACGUAGUUCGAUAAUGACGUCGGUAUAAUAGAGAUACUUGUUUUCAUGCGUUAACUAUAAAUUGUCUUCUAAAACAUAAGUUCGUACUGUGUAUUGUAGAAAAACAUGCAAAAGGAGAAAGCUCGGCGAACAUUGCAUUUCUCUCGUAUUUAAAUUUAAGCUUAUGUACAUAUUCCGACAAUGAGCGAAUUAGGAAUUUUUAAUUUUCAGACAAA
rnacentral:lncRNA from 1 species